AUGGUCAGUCAGACUUAAAAAUAACUUAUAAAUCAUAGUCAUUUAAGGUCAACUUCAGCAAUAUGAAUUUGGUUUAAUAUUAGAAUUAAUGAAAUUAACUACAUUAACAGAAGAUAGAUAUAUUCUGAUUAGAAACAAAAAAGCACUUGAUGUAAAGAAGAACUUACACAAUCUGAUAAAGGGUGUCUACAAGAACAUGCAGCUACUUGAGGUUCAAAGGCGUGAAAUAGGAACAUGAUUGUCACUCUUCAAGACCAAGGCCAGGCUGGACCAAGGCAAUAUUUACCAUAGCCAAGAUACAGAAGCAACCUAAGUGUUCAUUGAUGGAUUAGUGGAUAAGGAUGAUGUGGGCAUGUAGGUAGGAAAGAGUUUGAGAGAAAGAAGGAAGAGGCUGAACCCAGGAACUGAAUUGCACGUUUGGAUGUUCUGAGCAAAGCACUUGGAUUCCCAAUGCUGGUGAUAAUGAACUUAAAUGAUAAAGAGCAAGGUGAAGAAAAAGUUGAUUUGUCACGUGUUUUGAAUAAUAUUGAUGCAUGGUCUAAGCUGGGAAGGCAAGUAUAUAAAAUCCUUUAUAGACAGGGUGACUUUAAGUAAUAAUCAUGUGGAGACAUCUAACUAGUUAAAACACAAAACAAAGAAUCAAAUAGAGUCCAAAGCAGUCAUAGGGAAAGGAAGAGUAUAGAUGAGAGAGUGUAGAUACGCACAGUGUUAGCUCCCUUAAACAUGUUUAAGGGACAAAUGAAAGGAGUAGAGCUAGAGAAAAGAUGAAAAAGGAGAGAAGCCAGAAAAUUCUAGACAAUAGAAGAAAUGACUAUGGCAAUGGCUGAAAUGACACCACUCCCAACUAAAAAAAUAUUUGCUAGGGAGAGAGGAGGCUUUCCAGAAUAAGAAAGGACAAGUUUUGUCGGCUUCACCCUUCCAACA